GGCCUAACACAUGCAAGUCGAACGAUACUUUCCAGCUUGCUGGAGAGGAAAGUGGCGCACGGGUGCGUAACGCGUAUGCAACCUACCUUAAUCAGGGGGGUAGCCCGAAGAAAUUCGGAUUAACACCGCAUAAAAUCACAGUACAGCAUUGUACAAUGAUCAAAUAUUUAUAGGAUUAAGAUGGGCAUGCGUGACAUUAGUUAGUUGGCGGGGUAACGGCCCACCAAGACCACGAUGUCUAGGGGAUCUGAGAGGAUGACCCCCCACACUGGUACUGAGACACGGACCAGACUCCUACGGGAGGCAGCAGUAAGGAAUAUUGGUCAAUGGAGGCAACUCUGAACCAGCCAUGCCGCGUGCAGGAAGACAGCCCUCUGGGUCGUAAACUGCUUUUAUUCGGGAAUAAACCUAUCUACGUGUAGAUAGCUGAAUGUACCGAAGGAAUAAGGAUCGGCUAACUCCGUGCCAGCAGCCGCGGUAAUACGGAGGAUCCAAGCGUUAUCCGGAUUUAUUGGGUUUAAAGGGUGCGUAGGCGGCUUAUUAAGUCAGGGGUGAAAGACGGUGGCUCAACCAUCGCAGUGCCUUUGAUACUGAUGAGCUUGAAUGAACUAGAGGUAGGCGGAAUGUGACAAGUAGCGGUGAAAUGCAUAGAUAUGUCACAGAACACCGAUUGCGAAGGCAGCUUACUAUGGUUUUAUUGACGCUGAGGCACGAAAGCGUGGGGAUCAAACAGGAUUAGAUACCCUGGUAGUCCACGCCCUAAACGAUGAAUACUCGCUGUUAGCGAUACACAGUUAGCGGCUAAGCGAAAGCGUUAAGUAUUCCACCUGGGGAGUACGCCCGCAAGGGUGAAACUCAAAGGAAUUGACGGGGGCCCGCACAAGCGGA
rnacentral:rRNA from 1 species